rnacentral:miRNA from 1 species
CAGAUUUUGAAGUUAGUGGCAGUCAUUGUUUGCUAUUGCAACAUCUUCAAGAUUCAGAAAUCAGAUUCUUUUAUGGGUUUUCUUUUGAGCCUAUAUUAUUUGGUUUGAGAAUCUUGAUGAUGCUGCAGCGGCAAUUGAAUGGCUUAUUUAUCUAGGUUUUU